UGCGCAGGCGGCUUGGCAAGAAAGAUGUGAAAUCCCUGAGCUUAACUUAGGAAUUGCAUUCGAUACUGGAAAGCUAGAGUAUGGGAGAGGAUGGUAGAAUUCCAGGUGUAGCGGUGAAAUGCGUAGAGAUCUGGAGGAAUACCGAUGGCGAAGGCAGCCAUCUGGCCUAAUACUGACGCUGAGGUACGAAAGCAUGGGGAGCAAACAGGAUUAGAUACCCCCGUA
rnacentral:rRNA from 1 species